rnacentral:rRNA from 1 species
CGAACGCUGGCGGCAGGCCUAAUACAUGCAAGUCGAACGGCUCUUCGGAGCAGUGGCGGACGGGUGAGUAACGCGUGGGAAUGUGCCCUUAGGUACGGAACAACACAGGGAAACUUGUGCUAAUACCGUAUGUGCCCUUCGGGGGAAAGAUUUAUCGCCUUUGGAGCAGCCCGCGUUGGAUUAGGUAGUUGGUGAGGUAAAGGCUCACCAAGCCGACGAUCCAUAGCUGGUCUGAGAGGAUGAUCAGCCACACUGGGACUGAGACACGGCCCAGACUCCUACGGGAGGCAGCAGUAGGGAAUCUUGCGCAAUGGGCGAAAGCCUGACGCAGCCAUGCCGCGUGUAUGAUGAAGGUCUUAGGAUUGUAAAAUACUUUCACCGGGGAAGAUAAUGACGGUACCCGGAGAAGAAGCCCCGGCUAACUUCGUGCCAGCAGCCGCGGUAAUAC